GGCAAUCAGUGAUGAUUUUUUUCAUUUAAUAUAUGAUUAAAAUGUGAUUAUUACACAAAAAUCACCAUCUUUCGGCUGAGGUUGCU